GACGAACGCUGGCGGCGUGCCUAAUACAUGCAAGUCGAACGCAGUGGGGACGGGUGAGUAACACGUGGGUAACCUCCCAUCAGAGGGGAUAACACUUGGAAACAGGUGCUAAACCGAUACUGAUGGAUGGACCCGCGGGGCAUUAGCUAGUUGGUGGGGUAACGGCUCACCAAGGCCACGAUGACUAGCCGACCUGAGAGGAUGAUCGGCCACACUGGAACUGAGACACGGCCCAGACUCCUACGGGAGGCAGCAGUGGGGAAUCUUCGGCAAUGGACGAAAGUCUGACCGAGCAAUGCCGCGUGAGUGAAGAAGGUUUUCGGAUCGUAAAGCUCUGUCGUUAGGGAGGCGUUAUCUACCGAGGAAGCAACGGCUAACUACGUGCCAGCAGCCGCGGUAAUUC
rnacentral:rRNA from 1 species